rnacentral:rRNA from 1 species
CGCGUCUGUCGUGAAAGUCCGGGGCUUAACCCCGGAUCUGCGGUGGGUACGGGCAGACUAGAGUGCAGUAGGGGAGACUGGAAUUCCUGGUGUAGCGGUGGAAUGCGCAGAUAUCAGGAGGAACACCGAUGGCGAAGGCAGGUCUCUGGGCUGUAACUGACGCUGAGGAGCGAAAGCAUGGGGAGCGAACAGGAUUAGAUACCCUGGUAGUCCAUGCCGUAAACGUUGGGCACUAGGUGUGGGGACCAUUCCACGGUUUCCGCGCCGCAGCUAACGCAUUAAGUGCCCCGCCUGGGGAGUACGGCCGCAAGGCUA